UUAAACAUAAAACUUAAAUUUAGUUCUUGAUGAUCUUUGAAAAAUGUAGUUUUAGUUCUGGAGGAUCUGCUGCAAUAUUAGGGGACAUGUAAUGCCUGCAGCUAAUUGGCUGAACACACCUGACUUAAUGAACAAUGGGCGGAGCUUGGAGAGUCAGGUGACCUCCAGCAGCAGGGUUGGUGAGCCCUGAUUGGUUAAAUCCACUGCAGCAGAUUUUCACCAGAAUCUUCAAACCUGAAAAAGCCAAAAGUUGUUGUUUGCUGUUGAUCAGCACAGUUAGAGGUGAUCAAUAAUCAAUGAUCCAUUUGGAGCUAUGAGUGUGUUAGAAGAAUAGAACUAAAAGUGUGUGGAUGAGAUCAAUGUCAUGUUGAUGUUUCCAUGAUUAAAAACCAUGUGUUGCUCCGCCCCCUCCUCCUUUCAGGGUGGAUCCUGGUGGAGUCCGAUGGCUGAGACCAGGUCUGAGGAAGUAUUUCUCUGAACUCUCUCUGGAUCCAAAGUCAGCGAACAGAAAACUCAAACUGUC